rnacentral:rRNA from 1 species
UACAGAGGUCUCAAGCGUUGUUCGGAUUCAUUGGGCGUAAAGGGUGUGUAGGUGGCGCCGUAAGUCGGGUGUGAAAUUUCGGAGCUUAACUCCGAAACUGCAUUCGAUACUGCGGUGCUUGAGGACUGGAGAGGAGACUGGAAUUCAUGGUGUAGCAGUGAAAUGCGUAGAGAUCAUGAGGAAGACCAGUGGCGAAGGUGGGUCUCUGGACAGUUCCUGACACUGAGACACGAAGGCCAGGGGAGCAAACGGG